rnacentral:rRNA from 1 species
CUCCAGACUCCUACGGGAGGCAGCAGUGAGGAAUAUUGGUCAAUGGCCGGGAGGCUGUACCAGCCAAGUCGCGUGAGGGAAGACGGCCCUACGGGUUGUAAACCUCUUUUGUCAGGGAGCAAGGUGCAGGUCGGGACCUGCUGUGAGAGUACCUGAAGAAAAAGCAUCGGCUAACUCCGUGCCAGCAGCCGCGGUAAUACGGAGGAUCCGAGUGUUAUCCGGAUUCAUUGGGUUUAAAGGGUGCGUAGGUUGUUUUAUAAGUUAGCGGUGAAAUACCGAUGCUCAACAGCGGGGCUGCCGCUAAUACUGUAGGACUAGAGAUCGGAUGCAGCAGGCGGAAUGUGUAGUGUAGCGGUGAAAUGCAUAGAUAUUACACAGAACACCGAUUGCGAAGGCAGCUUGCUAGGCCGGAUCUGACACUGAUGCACGAAAGCGUGGGGAUCGAACAGGAUUAGAUACCCUAGUA